rnacentral:piRNA from 1 species
CACAUCUGUAUCUCCCAUGGACAUGGUA